UAGCCCCCAUUCUUAUUUCUCUCUCACAACACUAAUAAGAUCUGCAAGUCUAGAGAGAAAGAGAAAGAGAGAGAGAGUGAAAGCCGUGAGAGAGAGGAUCGAUGAUAGAGAGAUAGACGUGUGAAAGAUGUGGCAGCCGCAUGCGGCGGUGCAAGACCACAGCAGCCAUGGCUGCAGGUUGGGCGACAGGGAGUUGUUUUAGAUCUGGUUCGAUGAUGGUUCAGGGGUUUGGCGGUGAUUGGCGGCGGAAACGAUGGUUACAGGGUGGUGGAAUGCAGUGGUUAAUGAUGGCGGAGAAACCACAGACAAGGGGCAGAGGUGACACGAUUAGGGUUCCUCCUAAUCCUAUGGUGGCAGCGAUGUGGCGGCUCAGCCGUCUCCUGACGGUGGUGACAUUCUCAAGCAACGACAAUACAGAUCUAAAGCCUGCUAGGGCAUGAAACGGAUUCCGGUGAUUCGGGUGUGGUAUUCCAGCAACCAUGGUGGUUGACGGCGGGUUUUGGUGGUUCUUUCCGGUGGCAGCGGCUCGGGUUUAAGAUGGAUUCUCCAACGAUCUAAGGUUCAUGUAAGUGCACCUCUUGUUUCGCUACAUCUGAUUUCUUAGAUCCAUGGCAUUUGAGGUGUUUAAUAAAUUGUAUCGAAAUUGUAACUGUAAAUUGUGAUUACAUCUGUUCUUAUGUUGAUUGUUUGUGCACCCUAUUAAUAAAUGGGACAACCUUAACUAAAAUAUUAAACGCAUUUAACACCGAUUUCUAUGUAUGCCCGUGACAAUUAUAGAUAAGUGUUUAUUCAUCGCUAUUGUAGUCCACUCAAACCAAUUGAUUUUGAUAUUAUUGCUCCCAUUGCCACCAUCUUGGAUCCUUUCAACAAAAGAGGGCAGAUCAAUCACCGAAUUCAAAUCAUGUUUAACAUCCUAAAUUUCAAUCAUUUUCAUUGUUCAUGGGAAUUAUUAGUUCAUAAUGUUGCCACAACAACAACAAUAAUAAAAGGAUAAGGAUAGUGUAGCAGGCUACAUAUUAAAAUUUUUAGGAUGAUUAGUAAUGUUAAUGCUUGUAUUAUCAGGAUAUUGAUUACUCGCAUCAUUAUAGAACCCUUUAAUUGGUGGUGAAGAAUGCAAUACGAUAAGAUGAGACGACAUAGCCCAUUUUUCCAUUUAAACUACUUUAGGGUGAAACAUGUAUCUAUUUGCUAAACUGCAACGUUUUAACCUUUGACAAUUCAUGAUUAUGUCUUUCUUCAUUAUCAUUAUACAUCUUGUCUUAAACUUGCAUUGGUGAACUAACUAUUGAACUAGCAUAAUCAUUAACAUGACUAUUGUAAAUUAUAGCGCAAUAGUUCUGACAAACCUGUAAAAACCAUGAUUUUUAAUUAUGUAUUUUUGCCACCCAGUUUAUUUUCCCAUUAUAAUUGUACUCUCAGUUUUUAACCAAUAAAACACGUGGGAUUAUUUCAUCAUUUGCCAUCACAAACAUAUAAAUAUCCUUUUAAGUACAUAUGUUCAUAUUUAUAUAAAUGUAGAAGGAAGGGUAUUACAUAUUUAACUAAUAUUCAACUAUACAAUUCAAAUUAAUUUUACACAUAUAUAAUAUUUAAAAAUUAUAGUUUUAUAAACAGAAUGGAAUACGUUAUAAAACCUUAAGUUUUAAAAUUUCUUAAAGAGUAAAUUGCCAAAUCGUCCCUGAGGUUUGGACAUAUUUGUCAUUUUCAGAUGGGCCAUGUUGUCUAUUGUGUACUUUUUAGCAAAUCGAAAUUGCCACAAUGAGCCUAGUCAAGUUUGAUAUAUGAGGCUCAGGCUUGUUUAUUAAACGAGCUCCAAUCUAGGAUUGAGCUCGUUUUUUAAGCUUGGCUUGGUUCGAGCUUUUAGCAAACUGAUCUUGAGUAGCUCACUGGUGUAUCAGAUCGUUGUCACCCCUAGUCAAAUAGGUUGAAAGUCAUCUAAAGUUUUAUUAACAUAUAAAACCUCCUAAAUGGUUUCAAUUAACUAUUACCGAAAUAAUAAAAUAUUAUUUUUAUAAUCAUUUUGAUAUGUUAAGUUUCAAAGUUAAUGGACAAAAAGUGACAGGUCAACUCAACCUCGAGACUUAUUUCAACCUGUACAAAAGGAUUUGGUUGACCCGUACAUGUUACCCGACCUGGCCCGGCCACGUUGCCACCUCUACUUUAUCUCUUCUAGUGUUAAAUCUUAUCUAAUGCAACUUACAUGCUUGUUUGAGAUGAAGUUGAUCCGGAAUGGGAUUCAUCACAAACCACAGUUGGUCUGGAUGGAAAUAGUGACCUAGCUCACAGCGUGCUUGAGAACUGAUUUAGAAUGCAUUGGUGCAUCCAUCAUGGCCCUAUCCAUUUAUCUUGGUAGUCCAUGAGGAUUGAGCACGGAUGAUGACUCAAGAUUUUAUGCUUCUUAUUUCUUUAAUUGCUUUUAAUUUCUUUGUUAAAGGUUAAGACUUUAUGUUAGAUAAUGUUACAACUUAUUUAUGGUUAGUGUUUUUGUU